rnacentral:lncRNA from 1 species
ACAACCAUACACAUAUCACCCGCAUAUUCAAAGUCAACCAAAUUCAUUGACCAACAAUUAAUUAAAAUACUCAAAUAAUUAAAUCAAUCAAUUUUUCACAAUAAAAAUAAUUUAAUUAUUUUCCUACUUGCGCACCCCCGUUAAAUUAUUAAUCUCACCCUCUCAUUCCACUAGAACCAAUAUUUCUAGUGCACCCCCGAUUUUACUAAAAUCACAACACAUAAUAAAACACA